rnacentral:rRNA from 1 species
UACCGCGUGGGUGAGAAGGCCUUCGGGUUGUAAAGCCCUUUUGUUGGGAAAGAAAUCCAGCUGGCUAAUACCCGGUUGGGAUGACGGUACCCAAAGAAUAAGCACCGGCUAACUUCGUGCCAGCAGCCGCGGUAAUACGAAGGGUGCAAGCGUUACUCGGAAUUACUGGGCGUAAAGCGUGCGUAGGUGGUCGUUUAAGUCCGUUGUGAAAGCCCUGGGCUCAACCUGGGAACUGCAGUGGAUACUGGGCGACUAGAAUGUGGUAGAGGGUAGCGGAAUUCCUGGUGUAGCAGUGAAAUGCGUAGAGAUCAGGAGGAACAUCCAUGGCGAAGGCAGCUACCUGGACCAACAUUGACACUGAGGCACGAAAGCGUGGGGAGCAAACAGGAUUAGAUACCCUGGUAGUCCACGCCCUAAACGAUGCGAACUGGAUGUUGGGUGCAAUUUGGCACGCAGUAUCGAAGCUAACGCGUUAAGUUCGCCGCCUGGGGAGUACGGUCGCAAGACUGAAACUCAAAGGAAUUGACGGAAUACCGGAGG